UGAUACAAAAUUUGACAAGGAUACUAUUGCUUUCAGUCUUGUCGAUUGACUACAUAAUCGGGUCUUACACCUGAUUGGUUUUAUUAAGUUAGCGGUGGUGGUAAUUCCACGCGGGCAUAAUACGAACAUUCUCAGCGACUACUAAUUUCAGAGGCACACAAGGGCUAGCUUUAACCACAACUUGUAUCAACAAAACUGAUUUUUGAAGUUGGUUCAGAUGAACAUGGCGCUCAGUUUACCCACUAAGUUCGCGGGUUUGACUGUAACGCCUUCAGUUCAUGUUAAGUAUGCGGGUUUGACUGUAACGCCGCCGGUUCAUGCUAGGUUUAGCCGGGGAGUCACUCUGUUUGCAACUCUAUCAACUCCGCCGAAAACCAGUAAUAGUAGCCGUCAAACGGCAGUGGAUUGGGUCGAGGAAACUGCUAGUUUCUUUGAGCUUGAUAAUCGCCCCAUUAUGUUAUUCGACGGUGUUUGCAACCUAUGUAAUGGAGGUGUGAAGUUCGUCCGUGAUAAUGAUAGUGGAAGGAGAAUUAGGUAUGAAGCUUUACAAAGUGAAGCAGGCAAGAACCUGUUGAGGAGAUCCGGCAGAGCUCCUGAUGAUAUUUCAAGUGUUGUGCUUGUUGAAAAAGAUAGGUCUUAUGUGAAAUCGGAAGCUGUUCUGAAGAUUAUGGAAUACAUUAACUUGCCUUUCCCACAGCUAGCAUUCUUCUUACAAUUUGUGCCUCUAUUCGUUCGAGACUUUGCAUAUGAUAAUGUUGCCAAUAACCGUUAUGCACUCUUUGGCCGCUCCGAAUCAUGUGAGAUAUAAUUGGAGGCGCGGAGCACUCUUUGGCUGCUCCAGUUCAUGUGAUUAUACACUAUACAGAAACUGGUACUUCUUCUAUUGUGGUUACCUUUAACAGAAGAUAUAUACACACGAUCGAGAAGUAUGCUUUUGCAGCCAACAGUCUCACUGCAGCUCAGAUUUAUCACCUCGUCCAUCAGGGAAGUCCCAAGUAUUCCUCUGAAUGUUAUGUCGCUCAAUGCAACUGCAGCUGUCUGCAUUAAAUUAGUUAUACCAAUCACUUAGUAACAAAAUUCAACUGUUACACAAAAUAGUUCGUUAGAAACUUAUACGGUGAAAGUAUACAGAGUUUUUAUA